AGGACUAUAGCCAAAUUGGUAAGGCAAUCGACUUUGACUCGAUGAUUUGUUAGUUCGAUUCUAGCUAGUCCUG
rnacentral:tRNA from 1 species